UUAAGUGAUCCGCCAGCCUUGGCCUCCAAAAGGGCUGGGAUUACAGGCACGAGCCACCUUGCCUGGCUCCAAUUUCUUGAUAAUUUGUUUCAUUACCCUAGGCAAUUGUCAGGUAGAUAGCCCUAAAUUUGUAUACCGAAGGAACAACUCUCAGGUGAAAAUCAGCAAAAUUUACUUCUCAAAGGAAAGAGAGAGAGAGAAUCUGUUGUGUUAACAGGGUGAUUAAAAAAUGGAUACCAAGUCAAACAUAAAAUUACAGAAAUCUACCACAGGAUUGUAUAAAGAGACCAAUCACACUUAGAUAGUUUUAAACGUAGUCUCUGUUUUAACUGGAUCUCUGAGCUCUGAGCACAGCCCACAUUCAAUCCUGGGUCUCCAAAAAGGAGAGAGAAAUCAUGGGACUAGGCCACAUAAUGCUUUUAUGGUGUUACUUUGUUACAAAGAUGUUGCUUGAGUGUCUAAGCACCCUUUCUUAUUCUAAACUCCCAAGAGUAGCCCCUGUAAUAAUAACUAUUUCAGUUAAAAAAAAUCAGAAAACAAAAUAUAGAAGCAAGGAGUUUAAGAUCUGAGAGGAACUUGUUUAUACUCUUAGGGUUCCAUAAGGAAAAACAGAGGUUUUGCCCCCAGAAGGAGUCUGGCAUCUUCUCUGUUUUCUUUAAGGAAUCCCAGCUCCAAUUUCUUGAUAAUUUGUCUCAUUACCAUUGUUAAAAUUAUUUCCAGUGCCUCAUGCAGCAGAGGGUGGGAAGAGAAAGGAGAGACAGGCAGAAGUAAAUAGAAAAAGCAGAAUUCAGUUGACUGAGAAGAAAAAAACUUUUUUACAAAAACACGUUCCUAGAAGACAAAAAAACAUAAAGUCCUUUUACAUACACACACACACACACACACACACACACACACACGGAUUGCGGAUACUAUCUUUUAAUUAAGCUGCCUUUUAACUGUUGAGGUCUUAAAAAAUCCUUUUAAAUAUUAUUACCAUAUUUUAGCUGGGAAAAGCUGCUGAUAUUUCAAAGGUAAAAUAAAUCUCAAACCAGAAAGGACUUGAUUCAUAACCAACCAACCCAGGCUGUCAUGCUAAAAAAAAGGGCAGAAUCUUUGCUGCUGAACUACUGCAUAGGGUGACUACCAUUGCUCCUUUAGUUUAGUUUGGCUAGCAGAAGGUGGUCUUGCCAUGUAAAUAAAGCCUCUCAGGUAAUCAAAAUGUUUCUUUUUUUACUUUUGCUGGUGUUUUUUUCUUUUCUUUUUUUUUUCAGCUACAGGAAUUUAGCCAAUUCAGAGGAAAUCUUCCCCAUAAUUAUGGAACUUUCUUACAGAUUUUACCAAGUCUGGUCAACCCAAUAAGAAAAAGACUGAAAUAACAACAACAACUUCAACAAAUAAAAAAAAACAGUUAAGCUAAAUAAACAGAUGAUUGCAGAAUUUAUGUGAUUACUGGGUACUCUAAUGGUAAGGAGAAAUUAAGACCAGCUAGUUGUUAAUCUUAACUUUUAGUCAUUAAGGAGAAUUUCCAAGACAAAACUGCAAUCCAGCUGCUUACCUAGGAAUACGGCUUAGGCUGAAAACUUCUAUCGUCUUAGAAAUGGGAAUAAACCUCACACUCACCGUCCCUGUUGGAAGCAAGCUGAAACUCCAAAAAAAAAGUUGCCUGUUGUCCAUCAUCAUGGUGAAGCGGCGUCGUUGUCUGGGAACCCAAUUGGAGACGUUGGAUAUUUUAUCAAGUCUUUGACUGGAAUGACAUUUUUUCAGAAAUAACCAGACUGCUUUGAGGAAUUAAAAUUGACUUUAAGGGCUGAGAAAAACCCCUUGGAAAAACUGGCAUGGUACCCUCUGCAUGCAAUUCCUUUACAAAGCUCCUGACCUGUGUUCUGAAGGCUGGGAAGUCCAAGAUUAAGGCGUCAACAGGUCUUGUGUCUGCUGAGGGCUGUCUCCCUGAUUUGCAGAUGUCUGCUUUCUUGCUGUGUCCUCACAUGGGAAAAAGAGAGAGAAUUUGCUGGUAUUCCUUUUUAUAAGGACACUAACCCCAUUCAUGAGGGUCCCACCCUCAUGACCUCGCCUAAACCUAUAACCUCCAAGGACUCCAUUUCCAAAUACCAGCAACCACAUGUGUGAGCUUAGAAGAGGAUCCUUCCCCAGGUGAGCCUUGAGAUGACCCUGGCCUGUGACUUGAUGGCAGCUUUUGAGAGACUGAGCCAGAGGCCUCCAGUCUCCCUCUCCCUCUCUUUCCACGGUCUCCCUCUGAU
rnacentral:lncRNA from 1 species